UACAGAGGUCCCGAGCGUUGUUCGGAUUCAUUGGGCGUAAAGGGUGCGUAGGCGGUUUUUAAGUUUGAUGUGAAAUCCCGGGGCUUAACCCUGGAAUUGCAUUGAAUACUGAAGAACUAGAGUACUGGAGAGGAAACUGGAAUUUACGGUGUAGCAGUGAAAUGCGUAGAGAUCGUAAGGAAGACCAGUGGCGAAGGCGAGUUUCUGGACAGUUACUGACGCUGAGGCACGAAGGCCAGGGGAGCAAACGGG
rnacentral:rRNA from 1 species